rnacentral:rRNA from 1 species
UUAAUUGAAGAGUUUGAUCAUGGCUCAGAUUGAACGCUGGCGGCAGGCCUAACACAUGCAAGUCGAGCGGUAACAGAAAGAAAGCUUGCUUUCUUUGCUGACGAGCGGCGGACGGGUGAGUAAUGCCUGGGAAUAUACCCUGAUGUGGGGGAUAACUAUUGGAAACGAUAGCUAAUACCGCAUAAUCUCUUCGGAGCAAAGAGGGGGACCUUCGGGCCUCUCGCGUCAGGAUUAGCCCAGGUGGGAUUAGCUAGUUGGUGGGGUAAUGGCUCACCAAGGCGACGAUCCCUAGCUGGUCUGAGAGGAUGAUCAGCCACAC